rnacentral:lncRNA from 1 species
GUUCAACAGACAAAAAAGGUGGAGAAGCUUGGAGAGAGACGAGUGAGCAAGCUGAGAUGCAGUGAUUAUGAUGACUGAAAGAUGAACGAGCCGCAGGCCAAGAGGAAGAUGAAAAGCUGGCAUUACAAAAGAAGAGAGAGAAAUGGUUCGGAUGCGUGACGGGGAAAGAAUGCAAUGGGAAAAAAAGGAGGGAGUUCUGGGUCUUUGGUGAAUGAAAACAGUGAUGAAUUUUGGAAUUUUGGAGCUCGAGGUUUGAAAAAAGCACGAUAAGAGAGGAACAAUUGAGAAUAAAAGGCCCAAAACAGAGGAGCUUUCCUUUUUUUUUUGGGUGUCUGUGGAGACUGAUUGUGAGUGUUUGGGUGCGUGCAACAGAGAGUAAAAUUCAAGAAAGAUGAAGGAAAGACUUAGGUUAUAGAGUUUGCGAAUUUUAAAUAUAAUUCUUGAUUUAGUCUGUAAUGUGGUUUGGUCAAUGCCUUUUAAAUGUAUUUUGAGUUUGAAGUCGAAUUAGUGACAUUAAUCUGUUUGAGUUGAUGUAGUUUGCAUUGUGUACAUCAGUGAACCAGUUGCAUGCUUAAAUGGGUUCAUUCAUAUGAAGAUGGCAAGGGAUAAUGUCAUUUUUUAGCUGCUCGUUUGAUAUUUGUCCAGUAAAUUUUCUUCAAGUAGAUCGAUUCAGUCAGU